UCCGACCAACACGGAAAAUGGCGAGGGGAAAACUGGAAAAGGCGAGCGAUGGAAAACGAGGGACAGGGCGGGCGUAUGUGAAAGCCGGGCAAACGGGCCAACAGCUCGUCGGCAGGACUGUCUGAAAUGCAAUUAAGUCGCAUCGACAUGCAAUCUCCGGCGUGAGGAGGCCCGGCCGCAUAAAGGACUCCGCAGGAACAACAAGUACAACCACACGGACCCACCAUUCGCGGCCAAAAAGGAAGCGGGCGGUGGGGAAAGCCUUAAAAGCGCUGAAAGGUUUCAGUUAUCCCCUAAAAAAACUCACACGCACUCGAACAAGAAGGAACAACACACAAAAGCUGAAACGGGAAUCCGGGUUGACGAGGCUGAAAAUACCCUCAAAGGAGCAUCGGUGGUUGGGACUAUUUAUAUUCGAAAAUUACGACUAGAG
ensembl:ncRNA lncRNA:CR44770 long non-coding RNA:CR44770